rnacentral:ncRNA from 1 species
AGAUGAGAGAAACACCCCGCUCACAGGCGACUGUGGGCGACGCCAGGUCGUGGCCUCCCCAGCUCCGUCCUGGUCGUGCCUUCGCGCACACCUCCGGAGUUUCAGGCUCCGGAACUCCUCACCGGUCGGA